rnacentral:rRNA from 1 species
CCAGACUCCUACGGGAGGCAGCAGUGGGGAAUCUUCCGCAAUGGGCGAAAGCCUGACGGAGCAACGCCGCGUGAGUGAAGAAGGUCUUCGGAUCGUAAAGCUCUGUUGUUGGGGACGAAAGGGAAGGGGAGGAAAUGCCCUUUUUAAGACGGUACCCGACGAGCAAGCCACGGCUAACUACGUGCCAGCAGCCGCGGUAAUACGUAGGUGGCGAGCGUUGUCCGGAAUGAUUGGGCGUAAAGGGAGCGCAGGUGGGACGGUAAGUCCUUCUUAAAAGCGUGGGGCUCAGCCCCAUGAAGGGAAGGAAACUAUCGAUCUUGAGUGCCGGAGAGGAAAGCGGAAUUCCCAGUGUAGCGGUGAAAUGCGUAGAUAUUGGGAAGAACACCAGUGGCGAAGGCGGCUUUCUGGACGGCAACUGACACUGAGGCUCGAAAGCCAGGGGAGCGAACGGGAUUAGAUACCCCGGUAGUCCUGGCCGUAAACGAUGGAUACUAGGUGUAGGAGGUAUCGACCCCUUCCGUGCCGGAGUUAACGCAAUAAGUAUCCCGCCUGGGGAGUACGGUCGCAAGACUGAAACUCAAAGGAAUUGACGGGGGCCCGCACAAG